GAUAGCGCCCAUUGGGUUAACUUUGGUUUUAAUGUUGUUUCCGGUGUAACUUUGGUCGGUGAGGCCGGACAUGGCGGGCCCACUUCGGUGGGCUUUCG
rnacentral:sRNA from 1 species